UGCUUCCCCGGUUUCGUUUUCUUUCCUUGGAAGCUUCGCUGCCGUGCUCUCCUUUCUUCCCAAUUGUUUUCACUUUGUUGCCGUCCAUGGAGACCGCGAGGAACACUUUCGUUGUUUGCGCUGUCGCCGUCGUGGGUGUCUAGGAGACGAAGGUAUUCUCCGUUUUGACCCCGGUGACCUAAUCCUUCCGUUCUUGCUGUUCCAAGGAGUUCUUUGUGCCGUCAAGCCGCCCUCUGGUUCUUCCAUCCGUCGUCUUCAGGCCUCCCCUUUUGAAGAUGGCCGAGGUCCUCAUUCCAGAUCUUGAACAGGGUGAUGGCAACCCAACGAUAAUCGUCCGUGUCUCAAGGUUGUGGGAAUAUCGUGAUCAAAAUGACGAAACAAUUGUGCACAACAUUAGCUUGGUCCUGCUUGAUAAAAAGGGAGCUAGCAUUGCAGCUUAUAUUUAUCCUCCACUAGAUGUGGUGUUUGGGCCUAUUAUCACUGAGGGCAAGGUGUACCGCCUUACCUUCUAUCGAGUGAGACCAUGCAGCAGGAACUACAGGCCAGUUAACAACAGGAUGUCGAUUAAUUUCACAAAGUGGACCACCUUGGAAGAACAUCUUGAUGUGCCAGCUGAUUUCCCUUGCUACGCUUACUCACCUACUCCAUACAAUGAACUGCGCUCGCAUGUCGACCGCAAAGACUCAUUUACAGGUACUAUAAUUCCAACACCAUUGUUUCUUA